AGUGGAAGCCACUGACGUCACUGGCGGGCUAGGGCACGGAGGGCGCCUGGAGACUCGGAUGGCGACCGAGGAUGUGGCUGCUUCCAAGGUGUCUCCAUCUGCGGGCAGGGAGGGGGCUCAGCCCCGGAAGCGGGCAGAGUUUGCACAGUUCAGGAGCGAAGGGUGGGAGCAAGCUGCCCGGGCCUGGCCUACUUGACGGGACGCGGGGUGCGUGCCUGCUUCCCAGGCUCCCCCCUCCCCUGCCAGGUGCCCGCAGCGGGGGCGACGCGGCCAGGGAGGGGUGCACGGAGGUGUCGCAGGACCGAGGCCACGCGCAAGUCGCCCUGUUCCUUGAGGCUUCCAUUUGCACCGGGUCGAGGUCACCGCUGCCCUCCGAGGCCGGGCUCUUCCCCUGCACCCUGGGAUGCCCGCCCGGGUUGUCCCACUCGGGAACAGGACGCAUCAUCCUGGAGCCGGGGCAAGAGCGUGCUCGGGGCCACAGCCCCCUUUCCGCCAGCCCCCAGCCCCGGCUGGGCUCCAGGUUCCCCGUCCCCAGGGUGCCGCUCAGCUCCGGGAUGUACUUUUGGCUCUCAGCCUCUGAAGUCAGGGUUGUCCACCGGUGUCCCCGCAUCCUGAACUUCUGCUGUCCCUGUGGCCAGCAGAGGCGCGGCGCCAGCUGCUGAAGUGGGAAGAGGGCAUGUUUCUGUCGGAGGGGUCUGGACAGACGCCUGCGUCCCUUUACGCAGCCCUGGGGAGGUGAGUUCCCCAUGGGCGGCAGCCACACGCGGAUCCCGGGACCCGAAGCUGAAGGCCUCUCGCCCCGCCCAGGGCCAGGGCCUCCUCUGCCCGAGCCCCUCACACCCUUCUUUCGCCUUCACCCUGCUCAGCUCCUGAUCAUCCUCGCCAAGCUCAGAGGCCUCCAAGCGCGGCCAAGCUUGGCUGGCGAAGCCGUGGCGCCCCGGCCCUUUCUCGCCUCUGCACCGGCUGUGCUCCGAGCUGCCUCCCUUCCAAGGACACUGGGCAGCCGGCUUCCUUCUGCUUCUGCCCCCCUCCCCCCGCUUAGAAACGCUGCCGGUCCCGAGGGCGCAGGACCCAGCCCCAGGCUGUGCUCCCGGAGCCGGGGGAGGAGAGCGAACCUCAGGGCUGGCUCUCCACAGCCGCCGGAGCUGAGUGCAUCCCGAUCGGCUUUUAGGAUGGCAUUGACUGGGACAAGCUGUUCCCAGCCCCGUAAGCGUUAAUCUGCCUGUUAAUCAAAGCACUGAGGGGCUCAAUGAGGGUUUUAUUAGCGACCGGAGAGCAGAGGCAGCAGCCAGGGAUCAAAAGCCAGGGUCCCAGGUACUUUGUCAGCAAGGCACUCAAAAAAAUUGUAUUUUCAAUUAGAGAACAAUUCGGGGCUUUUCAUCAUCUCCUAACCAGGUCUCACAGAUGCUGACUUCCAGACUGUGCGCAGGGGAGAACCAAAUGCCCGGGGGCGGACCGGGGCGGCCGAGGGGCCCUGACGCCUCCCGACGCAGUCGAAAGGGAAGCCGCGAGCCACACCGCCAAUGUGGGCUUCAGACCCUGGGUCGCCCGCGCCACUGCCGGGCUGCCGGAAGUUUACGGAGCCGGAGCCGAGAGACUCCCACGCGCCUCCUCUGCCCUGGAGGGAGGCUGGGUCCCCUCCAGGGUGCCUCUCAAACCCUAAAACAAAUACAUAAAAGCCCAGGCCUUGGGGACUUUUGAACAGCAAUUGCUCCAAUAAUCCAAAUUGUACGAGAACUCCAGGGAAAAGAGCCAACCCAGCCACACCCGCCCUGCGAUCGCGAGGGCAGCGGCGAGGCCACCGCGAGGACUCGGUCAGAGGCGAUUAUGUCACCGCGUUUUCUCGCCGUGACAGCCGAAUAAACACGAUCUCCAAUAAACAUCUCUAAUGAGGGAGGAGGCCCGAGGACGGCUGGGUUUGAUUUAUGACUGGAGAAGGUCCUCUGCCCACAGCGAGGCGGGCAGCCUGCUCUCCGCUCAGCUCGAGGAGAGAUCCGCGUGGGACCCAGCCCAGGAGACAAGACAGUAACAGGACUUCUCCCCGAGAAAAGAAAGGACCCCACUGGCUGCCUGUUGUGGACGUGGAGAACCAGGCUGUGUCCACCUGCUGAGACCUCAGGCCAAGCCACUGUGACAAAGGGCUGGGCUCAAACUCAAGACCUCAUGCAUGCUGGACAAACUCUACCACUGAGCUACACUCCAGACUCUUCAGUUCGCCUCUUCGAUACUUGGCUAUGCAACUGCUUUUGACCAGCAGAAUGAGGAGGCACAUGUGACUAGGCGCCAGUGUGCAGCUUGGGUCUAGCGACUCUGCAGGGUUCCACUUGCUCUUGUGUGGUCACCAAGGGAAGAAGGAUCACACAGGGCUCAGGUGGAGUUCCACAUCAUCAAGGAAGAAGCCAAAAAAGGUGAAAUCAGACCCGGGGCAGUCAGUGGUCACGGACUCCAUCUGAUACAUCCCAUGAACCAGGCAUGUGUUAGUGGACAUGGGGGCCCAGAGGUGACUCAGACAUGACUGAGCAAGGCGCACAGCAGAGGUGAAGGGCACACCCUGCAUCUCCACAGGGAGCCCUGACACCCACAAUCCACCUCCUGUGGCCGUGCACACUCAGAUCCUGUUUCCUUUGGGAGGAGCCCGAGCCCCUUGGAAGGAGGUUUCCGAGGACUCGAGUCUUGGGUCUCAAGAUUUUCAAGCUGAAUUUGAGUUUGCUGUCCUUCUCUGAUGAACACUGGGAAGCGUCACCUGAGUCCUCACACUUUGGCCCAGACGGGCAUGAAGAUUCUCGGCGUGCAGGCAGGAAACCCCAGGGAGUGCCAGCCCUCCAGCCAGGUCACACAGCAGUUGUGGCCAAGACUCAAGAGAGCUGUGCUUCCUCUUGCUCUGCUUCUGCCUCACAGCUCCAUUUCCACUCAGUGGCUCUUGGCCUUUCGGUAGGUGGGUAGAAGCUGGAGUCGGGCAGGAGGCAGUUCUAAAACGCAGAGCCAGGUGGCUACUCCCUGGCAGAGAGGUGGGUGACAGCACAGAGACAUUUAUACCUCCACUUAGUCCACACACCCGAAGUUAAGGCACCAAGUCCCCUGCUUGAUUGUGAGCACCUGAGGACAUCACCACUUAUGGUCCUGACAGGAAGCCAGCACUGCAUGUCCGAGAACAUGGGUGACCACAUGGACACAAGACAGCCCUCAGAAUGUCCCAUUCACAAUGAAAAAACAACUGGUGCUUGAAGUGGAGUCACGUGUCCACCAGCACGCAGCGUGGCGCUAGGACUUGAACCCACGGCCUCCUGAUGUCCAGAUUCAAAGACAGCCAAAGCCAACAUUCAAAGAAAGACCUGGGUGAAACUAGCAGGAAGAGAACGAACCGCGAGCGCGCAGUUGCCACAGAAAUGCAGCCUAAGGGAUCACCUGACCCUGCCGUCCACCGGGGCUCAGCUGGGCCCGGCUGGG
rnacentral:lncRNA from 1 species